rnacentral:rRNA from 1 species
ACACAUGCAAGUCGAAGGUGAAGCGGGGCUUCGGCCCCGUGGAAACUGGCGCACGGGUGAGUAACGCGUGGGAAUCUACCCCGGGGUGGGGAAUAACCGCUGGAAACGGCGGCUAAUACCGCAUACGCCUUGCGAGGGAAAGCUUUAGCGCCCUGGGACGAGCCCGCGUCGGAUUAGCUUGUUGGUGAGGUAACGGCUCACCAAGGCUUCGAUCCGUAGCUGGUCUGAGAGGAUGAUCAGCCACACUGGGACUGAGACACGGCCCAGACUCCUACGGGAGGCAGCAGUGGGGAAUAUUGGACAAUGGGGGCAACCCUGAUCCAGCCAUGCCGCGUGCGUGAAGAAGGCCUUAGGGUUGUAAAGCGCUUUCGGCGGGGAAGAUGAUGACGGUACCCGCAGAAGAAGCUCCGGCUAACUCCGUGCCAGCAGCCGCGGUAAUACGGAGGGGGCUAGCGUUGUUCGGAAUUACUGGGCGUAAAGGGCGCGUAGGCGGAUUGUCAAGUCAGAGGUGAAAGCCCUGGGCUCAACCUGGGAACUGCCUUUGAAACUAACGGUCUAGAGUCCGAGAGAGGAUGGCGGAAUUCCCAGUGUAGAGGUGGAAUUCGUAGAUAUUGGGAAGAAC